rnacentral:rRNA from 1 species
UACGUAGGGUGCGAGCGUUAAUCGGAAUUACUGGGCGUAAAGCGUGCGCAGGCGGUUCGUGAUGUCUGAUGUGAAAGCCCCGGGCUCAACCUGGGAACUGCAUUGGAAACUAGCGGGCUGGAGUGUGGCAGAGGGGGGUGGAAUUCCACGUGUAGCAGUGAAAUGCGUAGAGAUGUGGAGGAACACCGAUGGCGAAGGCAGCCCCCUGGGCUAACACUGACGCUCAUGCACGAAAGCGCGGGGAGCAAACAGG